rnacentral:rRNA from 1 species
UGGGGGAUAUUGCACAAUGGGCGAAAGCCUGAUGCAGCGACGCCGCGUGGGGGAUGAAGGCCUUCGGGUUGUAAACUUCUUUUGCUCUGAACAAGGCAUGCUAAUGGGUGUGUUGAGUGUAGGGUUUGAUUAGCGCCGGCUAACUACGUGCCAGCAGCCGCGGUAAUACGUAGGGCGCGAGCGUUGUCCGGAAUUAUUGGGCGUAAAGGGCUUGUAGGUGGCUGGUUGCGUCUGUCGUGAAAGCUCAUGGCUUAACUGUGGGUUUGCGGUGGGUACGGGCUGGCUUGAGUGCAGUAGGGGAGGCUGGAAUUCCUGGUGUAGCGGUGGAAUGCGCAGAUAUCAGGAGGAAUACCGGUGGCGAAGGCGGGUCUCUGGGCUGUUACUGACACUGAGGAUCGAAAGCAUGGGGAGCGAACAGG